GUGGAGCGCUUAGAAGUGAGAAUGCCGGUGUGAGUAGCGAAAGACGGGUGAGAAUCCCGUCCACCGAUUGACUAAGGUUUCCAGAGGAAGGCUCGUCCGCUCUGGGUUAGUCGGGUCCUAAGCUGAGCCGACAGGCGUAGGCGAUGGAUAACAGGUUGAUAUUCCUGUACCACCUAUAAUCGUUUUAAUCGAUGGGGGGACGCAGUAGGAUAGGCGAAGCGUGCGAUUGGAUUGCACGUCUAAGCAGUAAGGC
rnacentral:rRNA from 1 species